GGCUAUCCUGCAAGCCUACGAGAGCAGGACCACAGGUGAUAGCAACCACCUAAAACGCUCA
rnacentral:ncRNA from 1 species